GCUGGGUGUUGUGGUGUGCACCUAUAGCCCCAGCUACUCUGGAGGCUGAGGCAAGAGGAUCACUUGAGCAUGAGUUCUAAGCUGUAGUGUACUGUGCCAAUCUGGUGUCUGCACUAAGUCCAGCAUCAAUAUUGUGACCUCCCAGGAGUGGGGGACCACCAGGUUACCUUAGAAGGAGUGAACUGGUCCAAGUGAGAAAUGUAGCAGGUUAAAACUCCCGUGCUGAUCAGUAGUGGGAUCACAUUAACGCCUGUGAAUAGCCACUGCCCUCCAGCUUGGGCAACAUAGUAAGACUCCUGUCUCU
rnacentral:SRP_RNA from 1 species